AAUUAUUGGUGAUCCUGAUGUUGGUGUCAAGACUAGAAGUGCUACGACAAAUGAAUGCCUAUUCUCUGGGUUUCUAUCUCAACUAGAACCAAAGAAAAUAGAAGAAGCACUUGCUGAUCCUGAUUGGGUUCUUGCCAUGCAAGAAGAACUCAAUCAAUUUGAGAGACAAGAAGUCUGGGCCCUGGUUCCAAGACCAAAAGGAAAAUCUACCAUUGGAGCUAGAUGGGUCUUCCGUAACAAGUUAGAUGGUGAUGGCAUUGUUGUGAGAAACAAAGCCUGACUGGUUACAAAAGGUUAUUCACAAGAAGAAGGAAUUGAUUAUGAUGAAACCUAUGCUCCAGUUGCUCGUCUUGAAGCCAUCAGAAUAUUUCUUGCAUUUGCUGCACACUCCAACUUCAAGGUUUAUCAAAUGGAUGUGAAAAGUGCAUUUCUGAAUGGAAAGCUAGAAGAAGAAGUAUAUCUGGAACAGCCCCCUGGCUUUGAAAAUCCAGAGUUUGCUGAUUUUGUAUACUUCCUAUUCAAAGCUGUCUAUGGACUCAAGCAGUCACCAAGGACAUGGUAUGACACUCUCUCUGAGUUUUUAAUUGAAAACAAUUUUACUAGAGGUGUCAUAGACAAAACUCUCUUUUACAAAUUGCAUGAUAAGGAUAUGAUAUUUGUACAAAUAUAUGUUGAUGAUAUUAUAUUUGGUUCUACUAACGAUAACUUGUGCAAGAGAUUUGGUAAGUUGAUGCAGAGUAACUAUGAGAUGAGUAUGAUGGGUGAGCUGUCCUACUUCCUUGGUCUUCAAGUAAGCCAAAAGGAAGAUGGAUUAUUUAUUUGCCAAUCCAAAUAUGUCAAAGAUCUUCUUCGAAAGUACAAUCUAGAAGACUCUUCACCGGCAAAGACACCCAUGGCCACUGCCACAAAGCUUGACCAGGAUAAAUCUGGUAAGAAAGUUGAUAUCACAAGCUAUCGAGGUAUGAUUGGCUCUUUACUUUAUCUUACUGCAAGUAGACCAGAUAUCAUGUUUGCAACAUGUUUGUGUGCUAGGUUCCAAGCUGAUCCUAAAGAAUCACAUCUUAUAGCCGUCAAAAGAAUCUUUAGAUAUCUUAAGGGUACACCUGGUUUAGGUAUUUGGUACCCUAAGAAUACUGGUUUUGACUUAACCGGCUAUACAGAUUCUGAUUAUGCAGGAUGCAGGAUUGAUAGGAAGAGUACGUCUGGAAGCUGUCAAUUUCUAGGACGUCGGUUGGUUUCCUGGUAUAGCAAGAAGCAGCACUCCGUGUCUACUUCUACUGCUGAAGCUGAGUAUAUAGCUGCUGGAAGCUGCUGUGCUCAGAUCUUGUGGAUCAAGAAUCAACUGAAUGAUUAUGGUGUUGUAGUAAACAAAAUUCCCAUAUUUUGUGAUAAUACAAGUGCCAUAGCCAUUUCCAACAAUCCGGUUCAACAUUCAAGAACCAAGCACAUUGAUAUCAGGUAUCAUUUCAUUCGAGAACAUGUCAUGAAUGGUACAGUGGUGUUACAUUUUGUACCCACGACUGAGCAAAUUGCUGAUAUCUUCACUAAACCACUGGAUGAAUCCACUUUCUCUAAGCUGGUUUGUGAGUUAGGGAUGUUAAAUAUGACAUAGUUCUCUUGUAUAUAUUUUUUCAUAUGCAUUAUAUGUUUUCAUAUAUUUUUUUGUGGAUUUUCUGUGUAAUUAUAUCUUUAUUAUUAGAUUUUAUAUUAAUUUAUGUAUAUUAUCUGAUGAUAUUCAGAGUAAUUAUGCAUGCUUGUACAUUAAUAUGUAAUUUUCUAAGUGCUCUUAUACUCCCCUGUGAUAUUUUCUAGGCAUUUAGAUAAUUAUUUGUAUUUAUUUUGUAUUUUUCAAAAAUUAAUUAAGCAUAAAUAUUUGAGUUUAAGUUAAUUCAUUUUAUUGAAUUAAAGUUAAAGUCAUAAAUAUUUAUAUUUAACUAAAGUUGAAAUUUACAAAAUAUUCGUGUAAUAUAUAUUAUUGUUUUAUUAUAGCUUUUUGAUUUUAAAUGCAAAAUGUUUUAUCUUUUAAAAUAAUCAAAAAUCAUAUUAGUUUUACUUGAAUUCAACAAGACAAUGGAAUUGUCUACAGUUUGGCUCGGUAAGACAAUUUAAUUGUCUUGCUGAACUGGUUUUUUCGCUGUUCUUCAGAAACUCGGCAAGACAAUUACAUUGUCUUCCCGAGUAUGCCUUUAGCCGCUUUAUGUAUCAGUAAGACAAUAUAAUUGUCUUACUGACACAUCCUUUAUCUGCUUCAUUAAAUCUCGGCAAGACAAUUUUAAAUUGUCUUACCGAGACUUCACUCGUUAUUGUCUUGCUGUGCCUGUAUAUAUAUCCCCGUUAGACAAUUGAGCAAGACAAUUCAUAUUGUCUUGCCCAAAGCUUCUUCUUCCUCCCUUGCAUAUACAUACAUAUAUACACGCAUUUGAUCUGGGUUUUCAAGUUUUUACCGAAAACUUGCUGGAUUCUUGUAUUUCAAGCUUAAAACGCUUGCUUGGUUACGUUUCUAACUCCGAUUUCAGUCGAACCUCUCCCCGUUUUUCGAACUGUACCUCUGCGAUUCGUGGUGGUUUCUUGAUUGGAUUGACUAAUCUCGUAGCUUAAUCUCGUGUGGAUGAUCUGAGAUAUCGUUUGUGUUGAAGUAUUUGGUUAAUCAACAGCCGAUUGUCUUUGUUCCUUGAUUAGGGUUCCUUGUUUAAUUUGGGGUUAAUUUGGACUUAAGGGACCGUUUGGAUUGUGUCUACUUGGAGUUAGUUUAAUCUUGUGAUCUUAAGGCGGUGUUUGGAUUCCUUGCUAAGUGUCGAUUUAAGUUGAUUAAAGCCAUUUAAAUUAAUUAACUUUUAAUUCGAUUUUAUUCUAAUAUUUCGAAUUAUUAAUUAAUUAAUCAAGUUUUAAUUAUUAGUUGAAAUUUGCGAGAAAUUUGAGAAUUAACAUUUUAUUUGAAAAAUUCUCGCUUAAUUCAAUUUUUAAUUAUUAAAAAAAAUGGCCGGAGAAUUUGUGAUCGCUGAGACUAACUAUUGUGCCAGCCUUAACCCUGAUGACUGCUCAGAUAGAUUCCGGACUUGGCUCAGAUUUCUUUCGAGACAGUGUUUGGCCAUUACCGCACUGACAGCAGAUAUUCCAGUCCAGCUGCAACCUCUGUUUGACUUCUACUCAAAUGUUGUCAACUCUACGACCCUGGAAAACUACAAGAUAAUAGGGGAUCUACCUAACGGGAAAAGGAUUGUCAUCACUGUCGAUGAUGUGAACAGGAUCCUAGGAUUUCCAAGGGAAAAUUUUGAGCCAGAUCCUACAGAUGAUGAAAUCAGGCAAUUCUUUCAGGAUAUUCACUAUCAAGCUCAGAUCUUUCUCCAUAAGAUGUCUAAGGGAAAUCUGAAGGCUGAAUGGGAUGUGUUCUUCGACACCCUGGCAAAGGUGUUUGCUCCCACUAAUCGAAAGAAUUUUGGCAAUAUAUCUUCGAUGCUGCAAAUCUUUGGAUUCAGCAUAGCUUAUAACAGACGGAUCAACUUUGGAAAGAUAUUGCUGAGGGAGAUUAUAAGAAAGAUGGGGUCUGUUACACAGCGAUCAAUUCAUCAGAAUGAGAAGGUUGAAUGCUUCUAUCCAAGAUUUCUGAUGUUAUUUCUGAAUGAUAAGAUGAAUGAAGCUGAUAGGAACAUGUACGUCGAUUCUCCUGUUGUUCCUAUUCAGAGAACUUGUGCUAAGAUCCAGACCAGACUGGUAAACAAGAAAAAGCAUGACAAUGUGCCACUGGUGGUGACUCCUUUCAUGCUAGAGCAAUUCAGUGCUCCAUUUCAACCUAUUCAAGUUCCUGAACCACUACAACAGCAACAAUAUCAACCUCAACCUCAACAACAGGCUCAUCCAGACAUUCAACAAGAACAACUGCAACAACAAUCACCUCCACAAAACCCUCAACCACUUCAACUCCUUCAAGACUAUCAAUCAUCCAGCCAAUCCUCACAUUACUCUCCCUACAACCCUCCUUACAAUUCACCACAUCAAUCACCUCACCAAUCUUCAUACAACUCUCCUCACCAAUCUCACAACCAAUCCCCUCCACAUUACAACUUCUUCCCAGACCAACAAGCCUCCAUUUUUCCCUCUCAAUCUUAACCUAUACCCUCACCUACACAUACACAUACCAUUCCUCAACCACAAUCUACCUCUCAGCCACUGCCUGCUGAUUCUGCAAUCAAUCCAGACCUACAGGAUUUCAGGACUGAUUUACAGGUAGCUCAGGUACUUUCUAAUCUCACUGACACAUUUAAUAUUGAUAUUGCAGAUUUUGAUUGUGAUAUUGGAUUUGAUUUCCAGACUCCCAGCAUUGAACCUGAAAACACCCAGGUUCAUAUCCAAGCUGACGUUUCCAUUUCAACAACUGAUUCUUCAUCAAACACUUCAAACAACACUACUUCAACCCCUGUUGUUAGAAAGGUAGCCCGGAAACGGAGUGGGAGUGCAAUUUUGAGAGAUCCCGCAGCUCUGUCUCAUAAGAAGCAAAGGGUGGCAGAACCAGAGACAACUGCAGCUGCAUCCAUUUCCUCCCAAAAGGAUUUGGACACUGAAACGGUAAAUAUACAGUCUCUAGAUUCAUUCUCUCCACAGAAUGCAUUUAUUGAAAUUGGCCGUCCGACCGCGGUAUCCUGUAAAGAGUCAAGCACACAACUAGCACUCACGCUAGUAAACACUGAACCUGUGUCUUUUGAUUCUUCACUUAGAGAGAGCACAGAAUUUCAAAACAUGUUAUAUGAAAAUCUUUCUGAUCACUCUUUCUUUUUGGAUCAGGAUCUACUUGGCAACCUGCAAGUACAUCCGCCUUCACAGGCAUCUGAAGGACAAUUUGUUCCUUCACUUCCUACAGUUCCAUCUCAGGGAACUAUGGUUGUAUAUACAGGUUCUGGUGACGGUGUGAAAACUACGAGUGAAAUCAGGCAAAUACCGAGCGAAACACAUGCACGAGAGGAUAGUGAAAAAUCUUUGAGUGUUCGUGAGGUGAGUGCACACACCAACACAGAUCUGUUACAGGAACAAAUGGCUGCUCUGAAAGCUGAGAUUGAAAAAUUGAAUGCUGAGAAUGCCAGAUUCAGAAGUGGAGAGCUGGUGACUCUGCAAGAGAAAGUUGUUGAUCCUUCCUUUACUUCUCUGAAAAAGGAAUUGGAUGAUCAUGUAAAGGGCAUUCACUCUAGGAUGGACAAAUUUGAUAAGACUCAGGAGCUCUGUCUGACAAAGCUUGACAACUUGGAGCAAACUCUGGCUCAAGUUGUUCAACACUUAAAGAUUAAUCCGUCAACAUCUCAGUCUACUCCAGAGGAUCCCUCAACUAAGGGGGAGAAGGAUAAGGAUGAUAAGGAUGACAAAGAUGAUCACAGCAAUGCUGAUGCUGCUGAUAGGAGUAAUAAGGAUGGAGAUACUGAUAGGAGUGAUAAGGGUGGAGAUGGAGCAAGUGAAAAGGAUUCUUCUGCAGCUGGCAAGUCUAAAGGCAAAAUGCCUGAAUCUGAGAACAUCUUCACUAAUCAGGAUUAUGACAACAUUCCUGAAGAUGUUGAUGAUGAUAUUCACUAAUCAGGAUUAUGACAACAUUCCUGAAGAUGUUGAUGAUGAUGAUGCAUUUGAUUCUACUUAUUUUGAAGCUGAGGAAGAAGGUCGUUUCGAGGAAAGCUUUCUCUUUAAUGAAGAUCAGUCUGUGGACCCUGAGCACAUGGGAAAGGUCAGGAUGUUUAAAGCUCAACAUGAAGCUAGCAAAGCAAAGCUUCAGGAAUUACAGAAACUGGUGGAUGAGAAGAGGACAACUGAUGAGUUGGUCACUACACCAUAGAUGCACCUACGCAACAUCAAAAACAUGUGUUGCAUUGAAAAACGUUGUAGUAGGUCAAAAAUUUAUGCUUACAGCAACAUUGUGUUUAUAACGUUGCAGUAUACAUAAAUGGGAUGUUGUGAUAGGUUUAAGAAAUGUUACACAUUUCAACACUUAUGAAGUAUUGCCAUUAACAUUAUUUUUUAGUGAUAAUAAUAAUAAAAUAAAUAAUUAUAUUUUGAAAUGCAUUAAUUUUUAAAAAAGUAUAUUUUAAAUUUUCAAAGGUAACAAAUUGGUUACUAGAGUCAUGCCAUUUUAAAAAAUUAUAAUAUUUUUGAUACUUUGACUUAAACCAAAUUUUUAAUAAAGUAACUAAUUGAAUAAAAAAUUAUUUAAAUGAAUCAAAUUUGAAAAAUAUUCUAAUUUAAUAUUUAAAAGUUAAAAGUUUAUUCCUUCAAAAAACAAGUUAAAAGUUUAUUAUUGGAAAAAAAACUCUAGAAAUUAUGACAAAUUUAUAAAAUUAAUAUGUUUUAUAUUAAUUUAAUAGUUAACGAUUUUUUAAAUACAAAAAGUAAUAUUAUAAAAUAAUAAAGAAUGAGCCAUUUUGUGAAAAAUUUGAAGCGGCAUGUGAAUGUCUAAAGCGGGGAUCUUACCGCCCUGUAUUUGAACGAAAAUUAACCAAGACCCAGGAAACAAAUAUUAACAAAGUGUACAGAGCAAGAGAGAAAAGCAGUAGCAAAGCCCUUAAGAAGAUAAACUCUAUGAGGAUUCUGAAGACGUCCCUUCCACCAUUCUUCGCGAGUUCUCGCUGCUGCAUAUGCUCUCUAGCGAUCCCCAAAUCGUCAAGUAAAUCUUUUUAACCAAUCUAUUGUCAAAUCUAUUUACCAGUGUUUUAAUUCAAUUAGGGUUUUAAUUGGGUUUUGUUGAUUUAAUUUUUGGGGGUUUUGUUGUUGUUUAUGAUUUUAGAGGCUGAUGGAUAUGAAACAACAAGAGACUAAUAAGACGGGGAAUUCGGUUUUGUACUUGGUGUUUGAGUACAUGGACACUGAUCUGAACAAGUUCAUUUGGUCUUUUCGUCAAACAGGAGAGAAACAUUCCUCCGCCCACUGUUAAGGUAUUUUCAAUUUGAUUGGUUUUUAUGAUAUGGGUGUUGUUUGAAAUGUUUUUGUAAUUGGUUUUUUAGGGUUUUGAAUUUGUUUGUUUUUUGAUUGAAAUGUUUUCUGAUGGUUUUUUUGAUUAUUGACGUAGAGCUUGAUGUAUCAACUUUGUAAAGGGGUUGCCUUCUGCCACGGUCAUAGUGUAUUGGACAAGUGUAACUAAUAAUUGUUAUUGCCAUUCCCUUGAUGUUUUAUUCUGUAUUGUUUAAUUUUUGGGAUUAUGUGCUUAUGAUUAUUGAUGUAUGUAAUUUAGAGACUUGAAGCCUCAUAAUCUUUUGAUGGACCCUGUAGAAAGGGCUGGCAGUGGCUUGAAACUUAUUGGGUUUGCCAGAGCAGGAUCUAUUGAGAGUGGUGAAAAGACCAAUGACAUGCAUCUCCUGCCUAAUGAGCACGGUAACCAUCCUUCUCUCUCUUGCAAUGCAAAUAUAUUUUCUGCCUGUGAAGCCUCAAAAGAAGUUACUCAGGUUGUCAAGCAAUUACCCACUGACGAAUGUGGAUACCCUAGGCCAGAGUACAUUGCUGCAAGCACCGGUAUAUAUAUUGAACUCCUCAACUUCAAAUGUUUAGCACAAUGUCAUGCAGAGUGCAACUUUUAUUUUGGACUGAAAUUGACUUCUAAUCUAGCUUCACAUGUUACUGGCCUUUUACAUAUGUAUUAGUAACUAUAUAUUAUAAAAUUAUGUUACUGUCUUAUUUUAUAUACAGGGCUAUGCUUAUUACAUAUACCGGACAUAAAUUUUCAGAACAUAUAAUUUUGUAUGCUUAUACCUCGGAUAUUCAGUAAAAGUUAAUGUCUGUCUUAUUAUAUAUACAGGGCUAUGAUGACAUUCCCAAGGAGAUACAAGCUGGUGCUGAUGUUAAGAAGGUAACAUCUAAUUUUCCCAGUUUCUUUCUCAGCACAGUCUGAGAACUCUAGCAGAUGGAUACAUUUCUUGUUGUUUCUUGUCAGAUGUGUUAUUUAUAUUUGCUUUUUCUUAUCACUGGUAUCACGUGGCCCAAGCUUUAAAUCAUCUAGCCUUAAUCUUGUAGUCUUACCUUGAUAAUUUUCGACCCUGUCUCACAUUUUAUAAUCUAUGCUAAGCUUUCCUUUCUCAUAAAAGUAAUUGUUCCAAGGCCUGGUUUACUAGAAGCUGUUGAUAUCCAGUCUUGUUGCAAAGGAUCCAGCAAUGAAGGUUAAUUGGAACUUAGAUGGACCAGCUGAAGGUGCUGAUGGCCUGCUAUAAGAAGGAUGAUCACAUGCUAUUAAAGGUCGAUGCGAAGUAGGAGUAUCAUUUUGAAACUAGCUAAGGGUUGCUUGCUAAUGUUGGAUGAUAGUUAAACUAUUCUUCUAGAAGCAGGUGUAGUUAAGUUAAGGGUGGAGGGUAAUGCUGUUGUAAAUUGUUUGGCUUGGUACUGACUAGUUUUUAUUUGAAUGGUUGUGUAAACAGAUUUGUAUUUAACAUUAUGGGCAAUCCAAUUUACAAGCAUUUUCUGUCAUUUUUAUUAGAAAAGUGUUAUAGUAGAUAUAAGAAUGGCGUAGUAUCUACGCUUAAAAGUCUUGCAAAAAAUAAUGGGGGGCACAUGUAGGGCCCACCAAUGAGGCCCACAUGUGGGGCCCAUAUUUCAGAGAAUUUCAGACUUUAUUGCAACACUACUGAAUGUUGUUAUAGGUGAAACGAAGUGAUGCCUUGAGUAAAUAUUGCAACCACAAUCAUAGUGUUGCAAAACUGUUGCUACAUGUCACUACGGCAGCGGUGCUGAAGGCAACACCAAAAAAGUGUUGUUGUUUCCCUUUUCAGGGUUACAGCAACAUUUUUUUGGCUUUUUGCAACAUUUUUUUGACGUUGCGUAAGUGCAUCUAUGGUGUAGUGGAUGAAGCUGGAGAAACAGAAGAUAUGGGAUGCAAAGUGCAAGGAGAAGAGAAAGGAUAUCUUCAGAAAAGUUGGUGAAAGCUGGGAUAUUGCUAGGCAAAUCUUCUCUGGACCUCAAAGGGAACCUUUCAAUGAUGGUAAGUACAAAUCUUUCAUCUAUGACCUGAGAGAGGCUAACUCUAAUGAGGAUAUGUUUAUGCGUGCUCUUGCUCUCGAGUUAGAAUACAUAACUAUUGGUGUCAAGAAUCUUCUCAAUGAAUGGGAGAUCAUUAUUUCUACUCAGAGAAACGGAACAUUCAGGGUUUCAAUUGAUCUAUUCAAGUUUCUAUCUCUAACUGAAAUCUGGGUGAUUCGUAACAAGAUCAGACGCAGCUCAAAUCUGAAUGAACUCCUUCGUGACAGACUUAUGGAUUGUGCAAUUCAUAACAGUCCACAAGUUGUCAGAAAUCCCUACUGUGUUAAGUUCAUUCACGAGAGAAAGUUUGGAACCUUCUACCUAGACUACCAACAUCUUCUUAAGUAUGAUGUUAAUCAGAUGGUUCUUGUUUCAACUAUUCUAUGUACCAAGGGCUUCGCUACGAAGGCCAAAGCUGAUGCUGAUACUGAGAUUGUGAACUACUGCACAAGGAGGAACAUUCAACAAUACUUCAGAAAGAUGAAGUAUAUCAACCAAUCUCAGCCAGCAGAUUUCAUCGAAGACCCUGUGGACAUAGAAGUUCAAUAUCAUCUUUCAUUGGCUCGUGAAAGAAAGAAGCGUGGUGAAUCCACUGCAGCUGAAGAGCCUACUCAGAAUGAGCCUUCUACUCCAAUUAUUCACUGUUCAGAUGCUGAAGAAGGAGAAGUCACUCGUUCUGAGUGAAUAGAUUGAUUAGGAUAUUUGUUAGAUAUGUUCAAGGAACAUCCUUUUGUAAUCUAUUUAUGAUCAUGGUUUAAUGUUUAAUGCAAGCCAUAAACUUUUGCUAUUUACAUUCCUUUGUUUAAAUCUUUGUCUUAUCUGUUAGUUGAGUUAUCCUCUAGGAAAUUUGCAUGUUAUGUUAACAAACAAAUAGGGGGAGAUUGAAAGGCAUAUGUUCAGCCUAUUUGUAUUUAAAGAGGUACAACUCAACUCAGAUAAGAAAGCUCAGUAAAUAGCAAGUCAUCGGAAUCCGUACGAAGAACGUCAAAUGAUUUAUGGGAAUUAUAUGUCAGAUAAAUUCCAGGAUGCUGCUGCACACCACUGAAAGAAGUUCAUUAAUAUGUUCAAGCCUCAGUGCACAAAUAAUCUUUUGUGGCACGUCCAGGAGUUCAGAAGAUAUAAAGUUUCUAUACUUUAUUUUAUCAGAAGAUUCCAUUUAAUGAAGAAGUACUUACAAGACGAAGACUCGACGAACAAAUCAAAUUCUUAAUGUUUAUUUGACAAAGAAUAUUUGAUUUAACUAGAUACAGAUGAACCAGACAGUACAUCUGUGUAUCAGUUAUUCAAAUUAAAUAUGUGAAGUCAAGCAGAAGUGGUAGUUCGUUCGUUCGACAGAUCAAGACGAAGUUAUUAAAGUUUAAAGAAGACAGGAAGCGGUCUACUGAAGAUUGGGUGUUUGAAUAUUUAAUGGACUAUUAUUUCACUUCUUAAAUAAUUAUAUUAAUUAUGUUAUUUAUUUAUUAAAUUAAUUCACUCUCGAAUUAAUUUAAUUUAUGAAUAUAUAUAAUUAACUUAAUUAAGUGGAUAAUUUUCUAUUUAAUAUAAAUUACAAAUUACAUUAUGUAACACCUAAACCAUCUCAGCAAGACAAUCAGAUAUUGUCUUACCGAAUGGAGUCCAUCUGCCAAGACAAAUAAAUGUCUUUCAUUUGUUAAAAGCCACCCGAAAGACAAUCUCAAUUGUCUAACCAAGUGGCAGUGCAACUCAAGCAAGACAAACGGUUUUGUCUUACCGAAUGCAUGUGUAAAGCAGCAAGACAAUCUCAAAGAGAUUGUCCUAUCGAAGAUUCAAUAAAGCAGCAAGACAAUCCCUUAGAGAUUGUCCUACCGAAGAUUGAAUAAAGCAGCAAGACAAUCUCAAAGAAAUUGUCCUACCGAUUCUGUGUGUGGACAAGACAAUGUGUAUUGUCUUACUGCCUUGUGUAAAGACCUUGUAAGACAAUCGAAUUGUCUUCCCUUACCUUGCAUUUGUCUUGCCCCUUCACAGAAUUGUCUUGCUCCUCUAAAAUUGUCUUUCUGCCAUGCUUUUAGCUUGCUAGGCAAAUGUAAUUGUCUUUCCUUGCUUAUGUAUUGUCUUGCCCUUGCUAGAUUGUCUUUUCUACUUGUAUUUGUCUUGUCUUUGCAUUGUCUUACAAGUACAAUGCUUUGCCUAUAUAUAUGGCUUAGUAUUCUUCAUUUCAAGUGUUCAUCACUUUGAUAUUCAAAACAUUUGUAAAGCUUUCAAGUUGUUUGUAACUUGCUUGAUCGUUAUAUCCAAAGUUUUCUGUGCUUUGAUAACCCGGUUGUUUUAAUCACUAAAUCUAGAAUAUACCCUAUCGAAUUAUUCUACGAACUUUAGUGGACAUUAAAACUGAACCAUAUUAAUUAUAUAACGACUUCAAACAUUGUUAUAUUAAUUAAUUAUAAUCUGAUUAACAAAUUAUAUUCAAUCAGAUUCACUUCCGCGAUUAUUUUGUAUCGAUUGUAUUCAACCCCCCCCCCCUUCUACAAUCGUAUCUGGACCUAACAAAUAAUAAUAAUAAUACAAUCCUAAAAAUAUAAAAAGAAUAAAAUAAAUAUUAUACAAAGAAAGGUUAGAAACACUCCCCUAGUGCAUAAGCAUGACGUGUCGCUUGAAAAAAGAGAGUGAAGUGUGGCUCAAUUUAAGUUAUUAUCUAGCUUCGUGAAAGCGCCAAAUAUGAAAUUGUAAAAAUCUAACUCAAUGUGAAAGUUGCUCAAGCGGUUGCGUGGACGCCCAACUUAUUUUUGUAAGUUGGUCGUUCUAAGCUUUUGAAAAAUUCUCUCGCUUCCUUUUUUCCACAUCUUGAGCUUCGAUUAUUAUUUUAUUCGCAAGAAUAUACUUAACAAAAUCCACUUUUCCAUCUAUAAAAUUUCUUUCUUUUCUUAAACACUUCAAACAAAAAUUAUCAGGGCAUCUUAUGGGAGUAAAAAUAUAUAUAUAAUGCAUAAACAAAUCUUGGCUAGAAAAUAUAUAAAAAAUAAAAUAAAAAUUUCCUAACUUUACAAAAUCAUGGGUUGCCUCCCAAGAAGCGCUUUUUUAAGGUCUAUAGCUCGACCUCCUCAAAAGUUAUUAUGACAAAUGGGCAGAAAGUUGAAUCUCCACCUUCUCAUUAAUUGGCUCAUUGGCUUUGUUAUGCUUCACUCUUUGACCGUUCACCUUAAAAGUUCCACAACUUGUAUUUCAUAAUUCAAUGGGUCUAUUGCGAAGGGAAUUUAAUGAAGAUGAUUUGGUUCUUUUAUUUAAUUCUAAAUGAAGCGAUGUCAUCUUUUUGCCUUCUUGUAGAGCUUAGAAAUUUCAUAAGCCUCAAAACGAAGCUCAUCGAGCUCAUUAAGUUGAAGAAGUCUUUUCCCAACAGCUGCGAAUAAUUCACAAGUUAAGCUUUUAACAGCCCAAAAUGCACGAUGUUCCAACUCAACUUGAAGAUGACAGACUUUCCCAAAAACAAGUCUGUAUGGAGUUGUUCCAAUAGGAGUUUUAAAUGUAAUCCUAUACACCUGAAGUGUAUCAUUAGGCUUCAUAGACCAAUCCUUCCUUGACUUUUCAACUAUCUUCUCCAAGAUAGUCUUAAUUUCACGAUUAGAGAUCUAAACUUGACCACUAGUUUGAGGAUGACAAGAAAGUCUUACCUUAUAAUGUACUCCAUAUUUCUUCAGGUUUUAAAGCGAUUUUUAAGAAAAUGCUUUCCUCCAUCACGAAUUAGAAUCUUUGGUAUUCCACUCUAGGGAAAAUUAUCUUCAUGAAAAAUUUGCUCACAACACGUUCGUCAAUAGUGGGAUUUGCAAUGGCUUCAACUACUUGGAAACAUAGUCAACAACGUAAGAUGUAUUUGAUCCCAAAAGAUGAAGGCAAUGGUCGCAUAAAGUCAACUCCCCAAACAUUGAUAGGUUCUACUUCUAGUAUAUUACUGAGAGGCAUCUCAUUUAUCCUUGAGAUAUUUCCAGUUGUUUGACCAUAAUCAUAAGAAUGAACAUAGAGAUGCACAUCUUGAAUGAAAGAGGGUGGGCCUGUAAAAACCGCAUUGAAGAAUCUUUGUAGCAGUUUUAGUAGUGCUUGCAUGGCCGCCACAUGGUGAAUCAUGACAAUAUAAGAUUAUAGAGUUAAUCUCACUUUCUAGAACACAUUAUCUAAUGACAUCAUCUGCACUAGAUUUAUAGUGAAAAAGAUCUUCCCAAGAGUAUUUCCUCGCAUCAUAGAAAAAUAUUCUUCUUCCGUUGAGAUGAAUACCCAUGAGAAGUAGUACCACUAGCCAAAUAAUUAUCUAUAUCAGCAAACCAAGGAACAUCUAUCCUUGCAAGGCGUAAUAUAUCAUCAUCAGGAAAUGAAUCAUCAAUUGGAAGGUCAUUAGUACAAUCACCAUCAAGAACAAGACGCAAAAGACGAUUAGCAACCACGUUCUCAACCCCUUUCUUGUCUUUAAUUUCCAUGCAAAAUUCUUGAAGAAGGAGAAUCCAACAAAUCAAGCGAGGCUUUGCAUAUUUCUUGUUCAUCAAGUAUUUUAGUGUUGCAUAUUCAGUGUAAACAAUAACAUUCAAGCUAACAAGAUACGGUUGAAAUUUUCCCAUAGCAUAAACCACUGCUAACAGUUCCUUUGACGUUGUUGCAUAAUUAAUCUGAGCUCCAUCCAAGGUCUUACUUGUUUAAUAAAUGUCAUGAAGCUUUUCAUCCUUCCUAUGUCCCAAGAUUACACCAAUAGUGAAAGGCAUAUGUUCAGCCUAUUUGUAUUUAAAGAGGUACAACUCAACUCAGAUAAGAAAGCUCAAUAAAUAGCAAGUCAUCGGAAUCCGUACGAAGAAUGUCAAAUGAUUUAUGGGAAUUAUACAUCAGAAGAAUUUCAGGAUGUUGCUGCACACCACUGAAAGAAGUUCAUUAAUAUGUUCAAGCCUCAGUGCACAAAUAAUCUUUUGUGGCACGUCCAGGAGUUCAGAAGAUAUAAAGUUUCUAUACUUUAUUUUAUCAGAAGAUUCCAUUCAAUGAAGAAUUACUUACAAGACGAAGACUCGACGAACAAACCAAAUUCUUAUUGUUUAUUUGACGAAGAAUAUUUGAUUUAACUAGAUACAGAUGAACCAGACAGUACAUCUGUGUAUCAGUUAUUCAAAUUAAAUAUUUGAAGUCAAGCAGAAGUGGUAGUUCGUUCGUUCGACAAAUCAAGAAGAAGUUAUUAAAAGUUUAAAGAAGGCAGGAAGCAGCUCUACUGAAGAUUGGGUGAUUAAAUAUUUAAUAGAUUAUUAUUUCACUUCACAAAUAAUUAUAUUAAUUAUGUAAUUUAUUUAUUAAAUUAAUUCACUCUCGAAUUAAUUUAAUUUAUGAAUUUAUAUGAUUAACUUAAUUAAGUGGAUAAUUUUCUAUUUAAUAUAUACUUCAAAUUACAUCCUUAAUCAUCAAAACAAACUCUGUAAGACAAUCCAAGAUUGUCUUACCAAAUGUGUUUCAAGUAUAAAAGAAGACCAGCAAGACAAUUUCCUUGAAAUUGUCCUACCGAAUGAAAUAUGAUGCAGCAAGAGUUUGUCAAUACCGCUUGUCAUACUACUUCAAGCCUUAGCCUCCAAGUUUAGAUUGUCAUACCGUUUGUCAUACGGAUGUCAUACCUAUUCGGACAAUGUCCAUAAAAUUGUCCUACCGAAAUUUGGAUGAAUCAGCAAGACAAUUUCCAUGAAAUUGUCCUAGCGAAAUUUGGAUAAAUCAGCAAGACAAUUCCAAAUUGUCCUACCGAUUCUUUGAGUGGCCAAGACAAAUUGUCUUCCUGCCAUGAAUUGUCUUGCCCCUUCACAGAAUUGUCUUGCCCUUCUAAAUUUGUCUUACUGCCAUGCUUUUAGCUUCUUAGGCAAUUGUAAUUGUCUUCCCUUGCUUUUAGUUUGUCUUGCCUAAGCUAUAUUGUCUUUUCAACUUGUAUUUGUCUUGUCUUUCCUUUGUCUUACAAGUACAAAGCUUUGCCUAUAUAUAUGGCUUAGUUUUUUCAUUUCUAAGUGUUCAUCACUUUGUAAAUCAAAGCAUUUGUAAAGCUUUCAAGUCGUUCGUAACUUGCUUGAUCGUUAUAUUGUAAGUCUAAAUGUAAAGACAACCCUAUUUGUUACAUAGGGAUGAUAACUCAACAAUAGAACUGGACAAGUAAAUAACACUACGUCUGCAUCGGAAUCGGAAGAUACGAAGACAAAGGUUGAAGAAGCCAUCUACAGUCUUGAAGAAAUAAGUUCACUGGAAGAAGUUCAUUAAUAUGUUCUUGCCUCAGUGAAGAAUAAAGAUUGAAGUAUUCAAGAUUGUGGAAGUAAUGAAGAUGUUGUCCAAGUACUCGAAAGAUUUCAGUGCAACCCCUGAAGCAAGAUAUUUCUAUAUCUUGGUUGGUUAAUUUACAAUCAACAAACUGAAGCAUAAACUAACCCGGAAUCGACUGAUUAAUGUUUGCUGACAAAGACGGUACAAUGUGUGACUUCAGUGUUAGUCGCUUGUGAACCAGACCAGUGCACUAAGCGUCAGCACGUACGGAGUUUGCAAAGUAUUUAUCAAUCGAAGAAUUGAUCAAGUCAUUUGUUCCAAAGCCAAGCCAAAUGCCUAGUCUCUGCAAGCUAUGCCAAGUCUCUACUCAAAUUCCAUAUGUCAAAGCUUCCACACAGAUCCAUAUGGGGAAGUGACAUUUCUAUAUAUGUGUGCACUUAUAUAUUUGUAUAUGUACAAAUAUAUUUAUAUAUAUGUAUAUAUGUAUAUUUAAUUAAAUAUAAUAUAUAUAAUAUAUAUGUAUAUAUGUUUUUAAACAUAUGUAUAUGUAUAUUUAUAUGUAUGUAUAUUUAAAUAAAUAUAUAUGUAUAUAGUAUAUGUAUAUAUAUAUUUUACAUAAACAUUUAUAUAAUUAAGUGUAUAUAUAUUGUAUUAUGUGCAAAAAUAUAAUAUAUAUUUAGAGAAAGUUAUAUAUAUCUUUAUAUAUAUAUAUAUAUAUAUAUAUUUAUAUUUAUAUUUACACAUAGUUAUAUUUAUAUUAUAUAUAUUUAAAUAUAUGAGAAUAUAUUUAAAUAUAUGUGUAUAUAUAUAUUACUAUAUGUCUAUAUAAAUAUUAUAUAUAUAUGUAUAUAUUUAUAUAUAUUUUUCUCUAUAUUUAUGUUUAUAUUUAUAUUUAUAAAUAACUAUAUAUAUCUCUAUAUAUAUUUAUAUAUAUAUAUAUAUAUAUUUGUAUUUGUAUUUACAUAUAAUUAUAUAUUAUAUAUAUUUAAAUAUAUGAGAAUAUAUUUAAAUAUAUGUAUAUAUAUUAUUAUAUGUUCAUAUAAAUAAUAUAUAUAUGUGUGUGUGUAUAUUUAUAUUUAUUUUUAUUUAUUAAUAUAAACACAACAUAAUAUAUUAUAUUAUAUAUGCAUGCAUGUUGAGAUGAUGUCAUGUGUCUAGGGCAUCCUAGGGUUUGCAUGGGAUCAAACACUGGACACAGUAAACUCUUCAUUGGCGCAAGUUCAAUAUAUAUAUAUAUAUAUNNNNNNNNNNNNNNNNNNNNNNNNNNNNNNNNNNNNNNNNNNNNNNNNNNNNNNNNNNNNNNNNNNNNNNNNNNNNNNNNNNNNNNNNNNNNNNNNNNNNNNNNNNNNNNNNNNNNNNNNNNNNNNNNNNNNNNNNNNNNNNNNNNNNNNNNNNNNNNNNNNNNNNNNNNNNNNNNNNNNNNNNNNNNNNNNNNNNNNNNNNNNNNNNNNNNNNNNNNNNNNNNNNNNNNNNNNNNNNNNNNNNNNNNNNNNNNNNNNNNNNNNNNNNNNNNNNNNNNNNNNNNNNNNNNNNNNNNNNNNNNNNNNNNNNNNNNNNNNNNNNNNNNNNNNNNNNNNNNNNNNNNNNNNNNNNNNNNNNNNNNNNNNNNNNNNNNNNNNNNNNNNNNNNNNNNNNNNNNNNNNNNNNNNNNNNNNNNNNNNNNNNNNNNNNNNNNNNNNNNNNNNNNNNNNNNNNNNNNNNNNNNNNNNNNNNNNNNNNNNNNNNNNNNNNNNNNNNNNNNNNNNNNNNNNNNNNNNNNNNNNNNNNNNNNNNNNNNNNNNNNNNNNNNNNNNNNNNNNNNNNNNNNNNNNNNNNNNNNNNNNNNNNNNNNNNNNNNNNNNNNNNNNNNNNNNNNNNNNNNNNNNNNNNNNNNNNNNNNNNNNNNNNNNNNNNNNNNNNNNNNNNNNNNNNNNNNNNNNNNNNNNNNNNNNNNNNNNNNNNNNNNNNNNNNNNNNNNNNNNNNNNNNNNNNNNNNNNNNNNNNNNNNNNNNNNNNNNNNNNNNNNNNNNNNNNNNNNNNNNNNNNNNNNNNNNNNNNNNNNNNNNNNNNNNNNNNNNNNNNNNNNNNNNNNNNNNNNNNNNNNNNNNNNNNNNNNNNNNNNNNNNNNNNNNNNNNNNNNNNNNNNNNNNNNNNNNNNNNNGAAUUAAUUCCAAAGAUUAAUUUUGAUUAAAAAUAUUUUUCUUUCAAAAAUUCAAAUCUCAUCCAAACACUAUUCACUUUAAAUCCUAAUAUUUUUAAUUCGAAUUAUUUUUUUUUAAAAUUAAUUUUGAUUUAAAAUAUUUUUCUUUCAGUAAUCCAAAUCUCAUCCAGACACUAUUCACUUUAAACCUUUAAAAAUGAGUACACAAAAGAUUAGUAGCAUUAAAAUCCCACCGUUCAGCAAAGAACACUUUGGCCUAUGGAAGAGGCACAUGUUACUAUUCCUCCGCACUGCGAACAGAAAAUACAUCGGGAUUCUGAACAAAGGUGUUUCUACUCCGAUGAAUGUCAUAUUAGCACACGAAGAGGAUGGUGUGUUAAUACCUCAUCAGACAUUUCCAAAAGAACUUUCUGAGUAUAAAGAAGAAGAGAAUGAACAGAUGAACUUAGAUGAUACUCUUCAACUGAUCUUAGUUUAAUCAUUAGAUCCUGUCAUGUACAAUGCUGUUGUUAAUUGUACGAACGCGAAGCAAAUCUGGGAUACGUUAGAGAUUAUCAACGAAGGCUCAGAAGAAGUAAGAGAGAACAAGAAAGAGAUACUGAUGGCUCGGUAUGAACAGUUUGGUUCCAGUCCCGGAGAAGGGAUUUCAGAGGUGUUUAUCAGACUUAAUAAUUUGAUAAAUAAUUUAAAUCUGAAUGGGAAAUACUAUGACAAGAAAGAGGUCAACAUGAAGUUUCUCUUAACCCUUCCUGAACAUCUGGAACACAGAAUCACUGCUAUCAGGGAAAGUAGAGAUCUGAAUGAGAUUACUCUAGAGAAACUCUAUGGAGUUUUGAAAACUUAUGAACUGGAGCAAGUUCAAAGUAAGCAGAGAUAUGGCUGGGGUAAAACACUGAACCAUUCAAGAGCUCUAGUUGUUGAAUCACCUACACCGGAAGAAAAGAAGGAUGUUGUUGUUCCUUCUAAGACCACUCAGGAAUUUGUUGUACCUGAGAUGGGUCAGACUGCUUCUUCCAGUGGUGAUGAAGAGUUCUAUACAAUGGAAGAGCUAGAACAGUUAGAAGAUCAAUCUCUAUCACUGUUUGCCAAGAAAUUUGGAAACAUGAGAUUCAAGAAGAACCCCUCCUACAAGUACAAACCUACAGUUAACAGGUUUCAAAAAGGAGGUUACUCAUCUUCUACAAGCAAAGGAGGAUACAAGACUGGGAUGGUGGAUAGAAGCAAGUUCAAAUGCUUUAACUGUGGUGAACCGGGACACUUUGCAACUGAGUGCAAACAGCCCAAGGUUCAAGGAAAGAGAAAGGAUUCGUACGACGAGCUGAAGCAGAAGUAUGAUGCACUAGUGAGAAAGCAUCAGGGUACUUCUGGAAGUCAAAGUUUCAAAAGCAAGUCUUAUCUGGCAGAAGGGAAAAGCUGGGAUGAUACAGACAGUGAUGAAGAAGAGCAGAUAGGGAAUGUUGCUCUCAUGGCUAAUGCUGGAUCAUCUUCACCUCCUCCUGCUGGAAGCUUUCAGGUAGAUCCUACAUGCCCUAAACUUUUUAUGCAAUUAGGACUCGAAAGAGAUGAUGCUAUUAAAAAGUUGAAAGCUGCCAAUCUUAAAAUUGAUACACUAGUCUUAGAUAUUCAUGCUUAUAAAAUGAAUGAGAUGAACGUAUUAAAACCUAAAAUUGAACAACUGACAAUGGAUUUAGGAUUACAAGUUGCUAAAGUCAGAGUUCUAGAGAAAGGUGAGAUUGCUUUAAGACUUUAGCUAGACGAAGAGAAAGUGAAAUGUAAAGGCUAGUAACAUUACUCCCUUUAAGAAGAGUGCUGAGGAGAGAGGAACUCCUUUUGUUUUGAAAGAUUCCCCUAUUAGUCGACUUCUGUAAUUUGUACAUGCCAAGUGAAGAUGCUAAAGCUGUCUUGGUUGAUGAAGCUGGCCAAGAGAGAGACACAACAUAUCUAGCAAAACACCAUGGUCUGAGUGCUCGUUGGAAAAGGUUUGCAAGGGAGCAUGAGCUUGUGAGAGGAGAUAUAUUGGUAUUUCAUAUAAUCACACAUUACAUAUUCAAGGUAUUGUUUUUCUCAUUUAGAUACUUUUGUUCGAGUUGUUUGGGUGCUUGACAGUGGAGCGUCAAGGCACAUGACUGGCAAUAGAUCCCUGCUGACAGAAGUUAGAGAGGCAACUGGACCUACAGUUACUUUUGUUGAUAAUAGCAAGGGUCGUACUGUUGGAUAUGGCAAGUACAAAGUUGGAAGGAUUAUCAUAGAAGAGAUUGCACUAGUUGAAGGACUACAACAUAAUCUCCUUAGUGUCAGCCAUUUUUGUGACAAGGGUUAUUAUAUUCACUUUGAAAAGGAAAUAUGUAUAAUCAAACAUACCAAGGAUAAACGUCCUUCACUAUGUGGCAUCAGGAAAGGCAACAUAUUCGUAGCUGAUUUAUCUACUGGACUAGGAAAUGAAUAUCACUAUUUCUAUGCAAAAGCAUCUGCUGAAGAUAGUCAGUUAUGGCAUAAGAAACUCUCACACCUCAACUUCAAAACUAUAAACUCUCUGGUCAAGAGAGAUUUGGUGAGAGGUUUGCCUUCCCUGGAAUUUACAUCUGAUGAUCUCUGUGAAGCUUGUCAGAAAGGAAAAGCGAAGAGAGCAUCUCACAAAAGCAAGACCAUCAAUAGUAUCACUGAACCAUUGCACCUGUUGCACAUGGAUUUAUUUGGCCCAGUGAAUAUUACGUCAAUUGAUGGAGGAAGAUAUGCUUUGGUCAUUGUGGAUGACUUCUCAAAGUUUACUUGGGUUUACUUCCUAGCUUCCAAGGAUGAAACUCCCCUGACAGUAAUUGAUCAUAUCAAGUUAGUUGAGUUGGAAAAGGGUGUUCCUGUAAAAGCUGUAAGAUCAGAUAAUGGAACUGAGUUCAAGAAUCAAACCUUAAUCAACUUUUACUCUGACAAGGGAAUCAACAGACAGUACUCAGCACCAAGGACUCCACAACAGAAUGGAGUCGUCGAAAGAAAGAAUCGUACACUGAUUGAAGCUGCUAGAACAAUGAUUGCUGAAGCAAAGCUUCCUCUGUACUUUUGGGCUGAAGCUGUGAGUACUGCUUGUUACACCCAGAAUAGAACUUUGAUCAAUAAAGAUCAUAUGAAAACUCCAUUUCAGCAGUAUAAUAACAAGAAACCAGUUUCUACGCCAAAGCGUCUGCUGAAGAUAGUUGGUUAUGGCAUAAGAAGCUCUCACACCUCAACUUCAAAACCAUGAACUCUCUAGUCAAGAGAGAUCUAGUGAGAGGGUUGCCUUCCCUGGAAUUCUCAACUGAUGAUCUUUGUGAAGCUUGUCAGAAAGGAAAAGCGAAGAGAGCAUCUCACAAAGGCAAAACCAUCAAUACCAUUACAGAUCCACUUCAUUUGUUGCAUAUGGAUCUGUUUGGCCCUGUAAAUGUUGCAUCCAUUGAUGGAGGAAGAUAUGCUUUGGUCAUUGUGGAUGACUUCUCAAAAUUUACUUGGGUUUACUUCCUAGCUUCCAAGGAUGAAACUCCCCUGACAGUAGUUGAUCAUAUCAAGAAAGUUGAAUUGGAAAAGGGUGUUCCUGUAAAAGCAAUAAGGUCAGAUAAUGGAACUGAGUUCAAGAAUCAAACCUUAAUCAACUUUUACUCUGACCUUGAUCAAUAAGGAUCAUUUCAUCUGUAUAACAACAAGAAACCUUAUGUCAAACAUCUUCAUGUCUUUGGAGCCAAGUGUUAUGUUCUCAAGGAUGGUGAAGAGAACUUGAACAAGUUUGAGCCAAAGGCAUCUGAAGCAAUUUUUGUUGGUUAUACAAAUAAUGCUUAUAGAGUUUUUGUAAUUGAUACUCUGUCAGUGAAAGUUAGUGUCAAUGUAGCAUUUGAUGACACUAAACUACCAAGUUUACAAUCUGCUGAUCCAUCUGAAUCUCUGAGGUUUGACAACUAUCCAGAUUCUGAUUCAGAUGAUGAUGUGCCACCUGAGGUUGCCACAGGAGAUGACAACAAUGAUAAUGAUCCAGGCAAUGGUGGAGGAAAUGGCAAUAAUGCUGGAGAUUCCACUGAUGCUAGUGGUGGAUCAUCAAGUCAUCCUGGCAACAACUCAGGGGGAGCUGGUGGAUCAACUAGUCAUACACAUCAGCCUAAUGAUAAUACUGCUGAAUCAUCUAGGACACAACUUCCAAGGGAAAGGAUUUGGAGCAGAGAUCAUCCUUUGAUCUGAUUAUUGGUGAUCCUGAUGUUGGUGUAAGGACUAGAAGUGCUACGACAAAUGAAUGUAUGUUCUCUGGUUUUCUAUCACAAUUAGAACCAACGAAAAUAGAUGAAGCACUUGCUGAUCCUGAUUGGGUUCUUGCCAUGCAAUAAGAACUCAAUCAAUUUGAGAGACAAGAAGUCUGGGCCCUGGUUCCAAGGCCAAAAUGAAAAUCUAUAAUUGGAGCUAGAUGGGUCUUCCGUAACAAGUUAGAUGGUG
rnacentral:lncRNA from 1 species